UACGAAGGGGGCUAGCGUUGUUCGGAAUUACUGGGCGUAAAGCGCACGUAGGCGGAUAUUCAAGUCAGGGGUGAAAUCCCAGAGCUCAACUCUGGAACUGCCUUUGAUACUGGGUAUCUUGAGUAUGGAAGAGGUGAGUGGAAUUCCGAGUGUAGAGGUGAAAUUCGUAGAUAUUCGGAGGAACACCAGUGGCGAAGGCGGCUCACUGGUCCAUUACUGACGCUGAGGUGCGAAAGCGUGGGGAGCGAACAGG
rnacentral:rRNA from 1 species